CAAUAGCGUAUACUAACGUUGUUGCAGUUAAAAAGCUCGUAGUUGGAUUUGUGGCGGCAGUUGCGGUCCGUACUUUUUCGGUACUGUCGACUGCUGCCAUCCUUGGGUGGAUGCUGUGUGGCAUUAGGUUGUCGUGCAGUGGAUACCCAUCGUUUACUGUGAGAAAAUUAGAGUGUUCAAAGCAGGCUUAAGCCGUUGAAUAUAUUAGCAUGGAAUAAUGAGAUAGGACCCUGGUACUAUUUUGUUGGUUUGCGUGCCAAGGUAAUGAUUAAUAGGGACAGUUGGGGGUAUUCGUAUUCCAUUGUCAGAGGUGAAAUUCUUGGAUUUCUGGAAGACGAACUACUGCGAAAGCAUUUACCAAGGAUGUUUUCAUUAA
rnacentral:rRNA from 1 species